rnacentral:rRNA from 1 species
AUUGAACGCUGGCGGAAUGCUUUACACAUGCAAGUCGAACGGCAGCACGGACUUCGGUCUGGUGGCGAGUGGCGAACGGGUGAGUAAUGUAUCGGAACGUGCCAGUCGUGGGGGAUAACGUAGUGAAAAUUACGCUAAUACCGCAUACGAUCUAUGGAUGAAAGCGGGGGAUCGCAAGACCUCGCGCGAUUGGAGCGGCCGAUAUCAGAUUAGGUAGUUGGUGGGGUAAAGGCCCACCAAGCCAACGAUCUGUAGCUGGUCUGAGAGGACGACCAGCCACACUGGAACGAAGACACGGUCCAGACUCCUACGGGAGGCAGCAGUGGGGAAUUUUGGACAAGGGGCGAAAGCCUGAUCCAGCCAUUCCGCGUGCAGGAUGAAGGCCCUCGGGUUGUAAACUGCUUUUGUACAGAACGAAAAGGUUUCUACUAAUACUAGGAGCUCAUGACGGUACUGUAAGAAUAAGCACCGGCUAACUACGUGCCAGCAGCCGCCGUAA